UACGUAGGGUGCAAGCGUUAAUCGGAAUUACUGGGCGUAAAGCGUGCGCAGGCGGUUUUGUAAGACUGUCGUGAAAUCCCCGGGCUCAACCUGGGAAUUGCGUUGGAGACUGCAAGGCUAGAAUCUGGCAGAGGGGGGUAGAAUUCCACGUGUAGCAGUGAAAUGCGUAGAGAUGUGGAGGAACACCGAUGGCGAAGGCAGCCCCCUGGGUCAAGAUUGACGCUCAUGCACGAAAGCGUGGGGAGCAAACAGG
rnacentral:rRNA from 1 species